rnacentral:rRNA from 1 species
UACGUAGGGGGCAAGCGUUGUCCGGAUUUAUUGGGCGUAAAGAGCGUGUAGGCGGCUAGGUAGGUCCGUUGUGAAAACUCGAGGCUCAACCUCGAGACGCCGAUGGAAACCAUCUGGCUAGAGUCCGGAAGAGGAGAGUGGAAUUCCCGGUGUAGCGGUGAAAUGCGCAGAUAUCGGGAAGAACACCGGUGGCGAAGGCGGCUCUCUGGGCCUGUCCUGACGCUCAGGCGCGAAAGCUAGGGGAGCGAACAGG